rnacentral:lncRNA from 1 species
AGCGUCCGUCCGGUCCGGAGAACAACGCACUGAACUUGACCAGAGAAUGGGACUUGAGCAUGCAAGUAAAGAGAGAGAGAGAGGGGGGAAAAUGAAAUAGCACUCUUACAAAUCUCUUUCUUCUCAAACCGACGACAGCCCGAGUAAGACUCGUUACGCACUUUGACUUUACACCAUUAAAACACACAUUCCACAUUUAAGUAGUGCUUUUCAUUAACUCUUGUGUCAUGGUUUAAAUGGAAACAGUCUUCACUUUUGAGGUCGUUGUCCGAGAGAUAGUAACCAAUAAAGUACUACCAAGAAUCAAAAUAAGAUCAACCAGUUGAAACGUAAAAAAUAAUGAUAGUUCCUCUUUUUGGAUUAAUAACAUUAAAAUCAAAAGCAUGACUUAAACACGACUAUUUCGUUUAAUUCAUCUAUCACACGGGUAGUCAAUGUUUGCGACACUUCACAUCCCUUCACGUGGCUGUAAAAUAAUAAAUAACCGUUUAUUUUACCCCCCUCACACAGCUCGUGUUGCUCCAAACGUGUUUAUGAGGACCUUUUAAGUUACAAUUACAUUCUUUAAAGCCUUUACGUUUUUUUAAUAAUUGCCAGCCGUGUAAGUUGAUCCUGCUUUAUUUAAGGCAAACGAUUAUUUUUAAUGUCCGUAUUUAACUUUUAUUUUCAAAGGCAUCGGUAGCCACAUAUCUAGAGGACAACCUCGCAAAUAGAAUAACAGUAUUGCUGCGUCCUUUGGGUAUUGGAGGUUCAGAGUGGCAUGUAGAGAUAUUUUACGCGCACAGUUUCCUCAUUGGUUGCAGCUAAGUCUGAUUUAUGGACAAGCAGUCAGAGCAACACAGAGGCUCCGAGCUUUGCUUUGGAAUUCAGAUUAUCCAGGAAAGCCAAUAUCUGCGGAGAGCUAAACGUCUCUUUGUGGAAAUGCUCAGUGGAGAGCCGAAUAUCAUCAUGAAACGUCUGUCACUCGGAUCCACAGUCUGCCACUGAAAUCUCCCCUCCACGCGCAAAAGACUGCGCCGUCACCACUCACCGUUUAUCAAGUUGAACUGAUCGUAAAUAAAAAGAAGGAAAAGUACAUUGUUGAGGAAAAUUCUAAAUUAUUUAAGCGAUUUAUCAUAUUUUCCUAACCCUUUCACCUGAUAGGCUCAACCCCGCGGACCCUGACAUCUGAUCACAUCCGCAAAAAAACUUGUUUGAUGCCUCAGAUUUAUGGACAAACUAUGGCUGCUCGUCCUCAUCCUCUUAUGUUCCAACAAUUUAUACGAUUUCAUUGCAUAUUUUUUGCUCUGUAAAUACUUUUAAUUUCCAUAUUUACAACAGGUGUGCAUGCAACACGCGUAGUUUCGUUAUGAUAUUAAGGAAUGACUUAUUUUUUGUGCCAUUUUAUUUUGUUUUGUCGCGGGAUAAUUAUUGUAAACGAUAUUUCCGGAUAAAACAGGUCACAUCCACACGACUCAGCAAAUGUUUAAUAUAAAAGACAGAGAGUUAAAUUAAGAAUUCCUGAAAUAAACUGCUCUUAUAUUUUGUUUUGCGACAAACAUGAAAUGUGUUAUCAGCUGUAAUUUGAGUGACAUUUAUCCUGUUUUUAAAAGAGUGAAAAUAGAGCUGAACAUUCAGAGUGGUCAUGAGAUCAGUACGCUUUUGAUCUUUUUUUCCAUCUUCUCACUUUGGCCACAUUUAUUGCUCACAGAAUCACCUUUUUUAUCCUCUGCACAAACAGGAUCCUGACGUACUUAACGAUAAAUCUAAUUUUCCAUAUGCUCGUCUGUCAGCUGCCAAAAGGGAAAAGGCGAGUCUCUUUUCCAUGCAGCAAGCAAGUGUUUUUUCGGACCAACGAAUUGCAUCGAAGUCAGCAAACUUUAACUGUCUGGAGUGUCUUUUCCAAAGCAGGUGUCCUGGCCCCCUUCUGCUGCCCUGCACCGGUCUGCAUGUGGCUCGUUUGGCCUCAGCUCCCCUGGGUGCCGUCGGUGCGCACACAGGCUGGAAAAACAGGCCGGGACAUUAAAGAAACGCGUGUUUGGAAAAGGAAGACUCGGAUGAGGUGUAGAGGAAACGUGCUGCCUAACUCUGGCUGCUCUUAUCAGCGGCCCAGUCCAGGUGGAUCAGCCCGGGGAUUUAUUUCAAACUCACUUUCCCCCCUCUUCUUUUGGGUCACACGAGCGACACACCUCGAUGCCCAAGACUGAUAAUGCGCGCUGGCACUGAUGGCUGAAUUUAUUGACAUAUUUAUUACAAGCGGGCCCAAAGGCAGAAGAAGAGAGGAAAUGAAAACAAUAUAUCUCCCAGGGGUGUUAUAAAGGUACUUUUUAACACGUUCUGAGCACAAUUAUGUGAUCAUAAAAGCGCGCAGUUAUGGAAUGCCGGAGUGGAUAAGAACCAGUGGUCCAUAGUUUUCCUCCAAUUGUUUGGAUCAACGUCAGGUCAACUUAUUAUUAUUAUUAUUAUUAUUAUUAUUAUUAUUAUUAUUAUUAUUAUUAUUAUUAUUGCAGCCCGAUUAUUGGCCUAUAGCCUUAUUUUUUCAGUGGAGUGGAAACAGAAAAUCAACAGACGUCAUCACACAGCUUGCCUGAAUUGAAGUUAUGUGGAUUAUUGUUGUUGAAAGAUUGAAUUUUAUUGUGAAAAAAGCAGCAAUCUCUUGAGCAUCAGCGGUCAGAAAAUGGCAUUAAUCAGAUAAUGACUUGAUGAGCUCCUACAACAGCUCCAUUUCUCUUCACAGACUGUUUUUUAAGAGGAAUAAGAGAGAGAGAGAGAGGGAGAGCUAUUUGCGAAAACAGAAGCAGGGAGAGAUGGUAGCGCUAAAAGCUGUUUUGUUCCGGAGAGGUCUCCGGGUCUCUGAAUAAAAAGGUUUAGGAGACAGGACAGAAGAGAGGAGAGGAGAGGAGAGGAGGAGAAGAGAGGAGGAGACAGGAUUAGUCCAAGUGUAAUAAAGUGAGUAGGCGUCUGACUCUCAGCAGCCUCUACAGUCAUUGUUGGGCCUCAUGUCCAGUACUUAAUGUAUUCAGCUUUCAGCAGCAACGAUGAGGAGCAUCACACUUGUACCUGCUGUCCAGAUAAAACCAAUUUAAAGGAAAAAAUACAGCAGUCUGCAUGUAUGAUGUGAGGAUAAUAUAGGUCUAAAGAAGAAAAAAAGGCAGAAAUUUACAUUGAUGUUAUUAUUGGGAAAAUUACUUCUUGGCUGUCAGGGGCUGUGAUAGCUGGAAGAUUGUGGUCCCCUGCAGUGACCCACAUCCCUCUUUUGGGGGCUACAGGUAGGGCUGAUUAUGGAGAGAGAGAGAGAGAGAGAGAGAGAGAGAGAGAGAGAGAGAGAGAGAGAGAGAGAGAGAGAGAGAGAGAGAAGCUGGUCAUCCUCUGUGGCCUUUUUUAUGCAACACACACACACACACACACACACACACACACACACACACACACACACACUCAGCGUUGCGUUUUAUGCUACGUGAAUGGUUGUUAAGAAGUUAUUUCUGACCCAACGUUCAAAAUGAAAUUAUGAACUCAUACACAAACAGAACAAUACAUGAAAAAUAUAAGAUGAAACGAUCAACGAAUGCCAGGUGUAACUUUGCUCUUACUGCAGGUUAUUAUUAAUGUUCCCUCUCACACAUAGAUAAACAGGCAGAUGAACAACAUUAAGACAGUUCCCAAGAUUAAAAUAAAAAUCAUGUUUCCAGACCUGUUUGCUCAAAUGUUAAAAAACUCUCCAUGUCUGGCCUGCAUAGAUGAAAAUAAUAGGCAAUUAAAAGGAUGCUGUUCAGUGAGGCUGAUGGGAAUAUGUCUGCAGUCAAACUCAUUAAAACCUCCGAUACACUCGAAGUAUCACGAUAACACGUUACAACGUGAAAAAUCGUUGAAAUAAGACGCACAUCUGACGUUUUUCUCACGCAAAAUGACGCGGUUAAGUUUUUUUAAAAAGUCUGAGUUAAAGCUAAAUGUCUUACGAACAACCUUGAAAGUACACACUUAAAAAAAAAAAGCUGCCCAUGAGAGUUAAACUGAAGUCAACGGGAAUAAAAAAGGGCGCGCGCAUACGUCAACACGCGCACAUACAGAGAGCGCCUUGGAGGUUCUUGUGCGGACAGACAUGCUGGGAAAUCGCCUGGAACUGUAUUAAGCCUGUCGUCCUUAAAACAAACAAUGGCACCAUGAAAUAAAGGCUUAUGCGCUCAAAGUCAAAGAGCCCCCUCAGCAACUCUCUCUGUUUAUCUCUCCCUCUGUCUGACACGCGCGCGCACACACACACCAACCAUUUCUUGAGGGUUACACAGCCGGGGCUGGCAGCUCGGGCGCGAGGGGACCAACUUUGCUCCUAUGAACUCUCACCUGUCAACACAGAGCAGAGGACUUUACUUGGUAAACACGAAAGGACUUUAGCUGUUUACUUCUGGCGGCAACUUAGCCUAUUUUCCUCACUGCAAGGCCGCGGUCACAGCUGGCUCUGCGGGUGCUUUGAGUGCGUGUCAAGGCGAGGUUAAAUCUACGCCAAACUCCGUUCAAUAAUGUGCCAAUAUUAAUAUGACCAUCCCGUGGCAGCAUUUCUUGAGUAAGAAGCCUUACAAUAAUCUUUGUGCAAGUUUGUCUGAUCCAUGGGCUGAAUUCGGCAACAAUCCAAGUUGUCAUUAUUGCAUCAAUUCAGCGUGGAUCAACUUUUCCCCUCAAGAUUUUACCUACAACACCCACUACCGCCCUGUAGCAUAGACCUGAAAGGUACAGACUUUGAGGUCUGGUUUAUUUUUGCUGCUUAAAGCAAGACUGUAUUCAAGGACCACUUUACACUCUCUGAUCUUUUCCCUCCACUCAUAAUUUCUUGCCCUUCAAAAAAGUUAAACCUUUUCCAGUCGGACAACAUGCAGCUUUACAACGCUCUCUGUCUAUCCUUUUUUCUAGAUCUACAUGAGCUUCAUCCACUACCGCGACUUCACUGGAAAUGAAAAAAAAAAAAAAAAAAAGAAACGGG